rfam:Stegodyphus mimosarum contig72183, whole genome shotgun sequence.
GCCUUCGUGGUGUAACGGUCAGCACACUCGCCGCUUAUUUAAGAGGUCCGAGGUUCGAGUCCGGGCGAGGGCA